AUCCACCCAGCUUUUCUAUCUGGACUUGCUGCUUGCUGUACUACAAUUUCAAUUUGGAGUACCAAGCUGAAGCUGUAUGCACGAUGGAAUUCAUUCAGAGGCGCUUUAUUAGGAUUUAAUCCUGAGAGGGGCACCAAAGCUGGACUACUCCUUUCAAAGAAGACUGGGAAGGUCACCCACAAAAAAGCGUCGGUCAACCACCGUGUCGCAACUCUU